GGUAGGGGCUCGGGCCCGGCUCCGUGCGGGGAGUGCGGCGCAAGGUCAGUAAGUCACAAGGAAGCUUAAAGCCACUGGGCCGAACGGGUUGAAGGUCAACUUCAGUCGGGUACGAUUAGUGCAGCCCCAGGUUAUUUAGUUGAGAAUUGCGGCUAGGUGAGCAAGAAGAUGGAUAGAGGACAGACACUUCCAGGCAGUGUGAGGCCUGCCCCACCCCCGGGCACAGACUGCGGGCCCCAGCCGACCUGGGCACCAACUGAUUGAACCCCCCGCUGAGCCCUGCUCUCUCCUGUACAGCUGCCCCAAAGCCACGGGCUUCCCCGGUGCAGCAUGUGUCGAUGGGUCCUCCGUUGCCUCUGACGUCUCCCCAGGCGCUUGUACGCUGCGCAGGGGGCUGGAUGUCUCCAGCAGCGGCACGGCAGCCUGAUGCCUCCUCUCAGCUGGGAUGCAGGGUCCUUCGCAGCUCUUCUGGGAUGCCGGGCCCUUGAGAUGGAACCAAUGAUAACAAAUGUUGACAAAGAGAAAAGCUGGACAAGCAGUAUUUUGUGAUUAACACCUAAGGGAUGGGAUGAAACAAGGAAGCAAAAAUGCAGCAGACCCUUGAUAUCACUGAAACUGCUACGAUUAAUUGCCAUGGCUGAAGCUGAAGAGACCAGAAAAAUGUGAGCAAGCUGAAGUAAUAAAAUCAAAUGGAAUCAACAGCGAGCUGUCUUCCUCUGCUGGAAAUGGAAAGCCCGUUCCUCCUGGUGAGGAAGGAUCACCGUUAAUAGUGAUCCGAAUAACAGAUCACGAACAUAAAAGGGAAGGUUACUGUUCUGAGGGCCAGCAACUCGAAGAGGAGCAGCUCAGCCUGUUUUGUUGAUUUUGGUGAUACUGUUUUGAGGAAGCAGGGGGCCCGUCAGUCAGCUAACAAAGAAGAUGGAACAGCCUAUCCACAUAGGAGAGAGCUGACGUAGGAGAACUGAUAUACGGUAAAUGUAAACGGCCUAGACCUCUGGUACAUCACAGGCAUUUGUUUAGAUCUGUGCGUUCAAAUCUAUAGUUCCGCAUUUGGAACGUGGCAUUUGCCCAAGUAUCUAAUUCCUUUGUGUCGUGUGGAAGCCACUGCACGGCUGCCAGUCUCUACACCAGGUUAUCGGAGAGAAUGAGAAUGCUGCAUUUCAACUCAUGACUACAAAAGAGGCUCCUUUAUGUCCAGUUUCAGAAUUAUGACCUACUUCAUCGUUCUGCUUUGACAUUGUUUCUCAGCAGGAAUGGUAGCGCUUUAAUUGUGCAGCGGUUGAAACCGGUAAUGUGUAGGCCAGCACAGUUAUGCUGUACCUUUCUUGAUAUGCAUUUCAUCCUUGUAUCAGGCUUCUGGGAAAAUAAACGGUACAGAGUUCUGGAAGGUGCGCCUUUAAAUAGGCGGUAAAUCUAGAGGCGUGUCUGAAUUCCAAGUGGCUUGUAGCUUCGUAUCUGUCUUCAGCGUAUACUUUUCUAUCGCUCUUAUUCCAGGCUUACCUCUGACAAUCUGUAUCACUGCGGUGUAUUGCGUUUCACAGGCAGUGAUAUAUUCAAUGAGAACAUGAGAACUCCUGCUCUGCAGCGGGCUCCGUAAUCGAUGACCAUGGGAUCCAUGCUCUGGGCUGGUCACUUUAGGCCUUUAUGCAGAGUAUUCUUUCUAGUCUCACGCCCCGUGUGAUCCUGUCCUUCCGCUGUUCUCCCAAGGGAUUGGAAAUGCUUCUGGUUAUCGAUGCCCUUCAGUUGUUUCUUCGGAGCGGGGGUUGCUGCAGGAAUUGCUGGGGAGGCCCUGACCGCGGGAUGUGGAAAAGACACCUUUGACUACAUCCAGCUGAAGAAAUGUAAGCCGAAGGAUCGGAGGAAAUAACUGCUUGUCUAGGUCUGUUACCUAGCAACACAUUGUCAGAGAUUUUUUUAUGAGCAGUCAUACUUGAUCAAGUGCCUAUUCAUUCCGUGAAUAGUAGUGCGUACGUUACUGAUCCUCUAAAGCAAGUCCGUGGCACUGGUGAGGUAGCGUGUGUUCUGAAGACUAAAUCCAAGAGCAACUCAUUUUGAUGCUGUUCUCUUAUAUGAAAGCACUUGGAGCAGAUGAAAACAUUUAUCGUCCUAUUUUGUUUAUUGAAUGGACCGUGAGACUCGGAAAAACCUGCAGUAAAGGAGACACGGUAGUCAGCUUCCUUGGAGAAGGUGUCUUGUCCUGUACUUUAGGGCUUUCUGUACAUUUUGACAGACAGUAGUGAAUGACUGGUUUCCUUUGAACCCCUGGGCAGCAGAAGGUUCUGACUGGGAGGCAAAAUGUUUCUUGUGGCGGGUUUGAAGAAGUUGGCUACCAAUCAAAAGUAAUGACAAUUCUGUGGAGUCACUGAAGUUUUUAAAAGACAGUCGUCACCUUUUAUGGAAGGCGAUGCACUUUGGUUACUGAUCCCUGUAGUAAUCAAGCCAGGUAAGUGAUGCGUAGGAGGUCAAGCCCAUUAGUCUUUUUCACAUAGUAAUAGCCUUUAGGCUGUGAUCGCUCUUAUAAAAGUCCAGAUAUUUUAGAAACUGAACAAGCCUUGUUAGCUUGUUUCCCGUACUACCGCAAAAGGUGAUCAGAAUACCAAUGUUUUCAUGCUUUAAUGUGGUAGACAUACACUGUGCAAACGUCUCUUACUGUUUAAUAAUAAAAACUGAGCGGUCCGUCGAGACACUAGUGCAGCUUGCUUUUGGCUGUUUAUUUUGUUUAACAAUCGAUGAAGGCGAGAGGUCGAAAGUCCUAAAGACGACCAUUGCUUGUUUAAUGGUUGCAAAUUGUCUUGUUAAGUUGUGUGUGUGUGUGUGUGUGUGUGUGCCUGUGUGUGCGUUUUUGUUCUUGUUUUUUUAAUGGCAGCCUCUGAGUACUUUUUGGCCGUAGCGUAUUUUGCAGUGUUAGAAUGAAAGCCUUCUUAAU